rnacentral:sRNA from 1 species
GCUGGGCAUGGUAGCCCAUGCCUGUAAUCCCAGUGGCUUGGGAGGCUGAGGCAGGAGGAUUGUGAGUUCAAAGCAGCCUCAAGAGAAAGCAAGGUGCUAAGCAUUUCAGUGAGACCCUGUCUAUA